AUCUAAUCACCCCCACUAUAAAUGCAAGACUCUGUGUCUCCAGAGCUGGUUUGUUUCAUAUUUUAGCUCCACGGUCACAGGCAAAUUCACUGAACCAAAAUAAAACCUUCUGACUUGCUGUUUUCACUGUCCUAAAAUGGGAAAAGAGAAAAACAACAACAACAACAACAACAAUUUCCCGAGGAUCCCUGCCCACAUUCAGAGUAGCAGAUUUACCUACUUCAAAGUGGAGAUCAAAGCCACACUCUAAGGCUCCUUAUUUCCACAGGCUGGCAAGCAAACAAGGCAUACAGGCUUUGCAAGAGUGUAUCCUAAUUCUCUUACUGAAGAAAAGUCAACAGCAGAGACAACACAGAAAAAGGAAUCAAAGAGGCCAAAUCUGUGGACUCAAAACAAUAAGAAAAAAUAAAUCAACUUUGCUAAAAUUUAAGAAUGCCAGGGGGGUAGGUAAAUGCACUGGGAAGUAUGUGUGGACUAUGAUGAUAAUAAAUCUCCUUUCAAUACAACUGAUAUUUAUCAGACCUUGAAUAAAACACUGAAUGUGGAUACUAUAGUGCAAAGCAUCUAUAUAGGAAUUAGGACAGUGGAAGUAUGAGGUAAGCUGCAAGUGUAAUUUGAAAGUUUCCAGCAGCCAGAUUAAAAAGGUAAAAAGAAACAGGUGAAUGGAUUUUAAUAGCAUAUUUUAUUUAACCCAAUAUAUCCAAAAUAUUAUCAUUUCAAUAUAUAAUCAAUAUUUUAAAAGGAGACAUUUUAUAUUCUUUUUUUGGUACUUGGUCUUCAAAAUCCAAGGCAACCACAUUAAAAAUGAUCAAUAGUUACAUAUGGCUACUGGCUACCAUAUUGAACAGAACAUUUAAAUACCUACAUAGUUAAUCAUCUGGAAUGCAGAAGUGUCAAUAUACUGAGGUAAGCCAGCAAAAGGAAAAAAAAAAAAAAGAUGAUGAAAAAAAGAAAUAUGUUUACCAAAGACGUGGCACAAAUAUUCUCCACUGCCUAAGAAGGGAAGGCGAGGUAGAUUUAGCAUAACUAAAAUAAGAAUGAUUUGGAUUUAGAUAGCUUCAUAGCUGAUGAGAU
rnacentral:lncRNA from 1 species